rfam:Lupinus angustifolius cultivar Tanjil contig_4178, whole genome shotgun sequence.
AAGCCCGGUAAUUAGGGCUUAAAGAACUUGAGCACAUAAGCGUGCUUGCGCGAGAGUAGUACUAGGAUGGGUGUGCCCCUGGGAAGUCCUCGUGUUGCACCUC